rnacentral:rRNA from 1 species
AACGAACGCUGGCGGCAGGCUUAACACAUGCAAGUCGAACGAGAUCUUCGGAUCUAGUGGCAGACGUGUGAGGAGCACGUGGGAACAUCCCUUUCAGUCCGGAAUAACGUUGGGAGACUAACGCUAAUACCGGAUACGUCCUUCGGGAGAAAGCUUUAUCGCUGAAAGAUGGGCCCGCGUCGGAUUAGCCAGUUGGUGAGAUACCGGCUCACCAAGGCUACGAGCAGUAGCUGAUCUGAGAGGAUGAGCAGCAACAUUGGGACUGAGACACGGCCCAAACUCCUACGGGAGGCAGCAGUGGGGAAUAUCGGACAGUGGGCGCAAGCCUGAUCUAGCCAGGCCGCGUGAGUGAUGACGGCCUUCGGGUUGUAAAGCUCUUUUGUCCGGGAAGAUAAUGACUGUACCGGAAGAAUAAGCCCCGGCAAACUUCGUGCCAGCCGCCGCCGUAA